rnacentral:rRNA from 1 species
UAUGACGGGUAUCCGGCCUGAGAGGGUGAACGGACACACUGGAACUGAGACACGGUCCAGACUCCUACGGGAGGCAGCAGUAGGGAAUAUUGCUCAAUGGGCGCAAGCCUGAAGCAGCAACGCCGCGUGGAGGAUGAAGGUUUUAGGAUCGUAAACUCCUUUUGUUAGAGAAGAUAAUGACGGUAUCUAACGAAUAAGCACCGGCUAACUCCGUGCCAGCAGCCGCGGUAAUACGGAGGGCGCAAGCGUUACUCGGAAUCACUGGCCGUAAAGAACGCGUAGGCGGGAUAGUAAGUCAGGUGUGAAAUCCUAUGGCUUAACCAUAGAACUGCAUUUGAAACUACUAUUCUAGAGUGUGGGAGAGGUAGGUGGAAU